AAUAAGAUGGCUGAGUGAAAUAGGCGGUAGAUUGUAAAUCUAUGGACGAGGAAAAAACCUUUCUUAUUA
rnacentral:tRNA from 1 species